AUUCCAUCUACUAGCAGUACUGGAUUAAGUUGACUAACAAAUAAUACUAAAGAGGUAGAUCGAUCAUAGGCUGAUGUAACCAUGACAGAACUAUUAACUCAGAUAAUAAUUUGCUACCAUGUGUCUAGAUGAUGAUGAGAUUGGAUAAUAUACACCAACAUAUACCUCCCACUUUCUAAACUAAAAUGAAAUACCUCACAUUGGUGUGGAAAGUCUUUUCAAAAAUCUCAUCCAACCUGUACUAUCAUAAUAAAUGCUCUGUUCUAUCGAUGAUAAAAUAUUAAUUUUUUAAUCAUUCGAAGUGAUGCACCAUCCUUUGAAAAUAACCUGCUGUAUAGAGUAAUGAUGGUAUCUGAAAAAUCGAGAUUCCAUAAUUGCUUAAGUGGCUGACCUCUGAGAUGUGCGUGCCAAGUGCAAAAUAUGAUUGAUGGCUUUGGUUAUUAUACGGAUCUUACUUACAUGGC
rnacentral:lncRNA from 1 species